ACGAUUGACGGAGCGAAGCGACGUCAAAGCGUAUACAAAGUCGAGUCGGUUUAAGGAUACGUUCGUUGGGUAGGGGAGCGUUCUGUAAGCCUGCGAAGGUGGCCUGUGAGGGUUGCUGGAGGUAUCAGAAGUGCGAAUGCUGACAUAAGUAACGAUAAAGCGGGUGAAAAGCCCGCUCGCCGGAAGACCAAGGGUUCCUGUCCAACGUUAAUCGGGGCAGGGUGAGUCGACCCCUAAGGCGAGGCCGAAAGGCGUAGUCGAUGGGAAACGGGUUAAUAUUCCCGUACUUGGUGUUACUGCGAAGGGGGGACGGAGAAGGCUAUGUUGGCCGGGCGACGGUUGUCCCGGUUUAAGCGUGUAGGUGUGUGUUCCAGGUAAAUCCGGUUCACUUUAACACUGAGGCGUGACGACGAGGCACUACGGUGCUGAAGCAACAAAUGCCCUGCUUCCAGGAAAAGCCUCUAAGCAUCAGGUAACAUCAAAUCGUACCCCAAACCGACACAGGUGGUCAGGUAGAGAAUACCAAGGCGCUUGAGAGAACUCGGGUGAAGGAACUAGGCAAAAUGGUGCCGUAACUUCGGGAGAAGGCACGCUGACACGUAGGUGAAGUGAUUUACUCAUGGAGCUGAAGUCAGUCGAAGAUACCAGCUGGCUGCAACUGUUUAUUAAAAACACAGCACUGUGCAAACACGAAAGUGGACGUAUACGGUGUGACGCCUGCCCGGUGCCGGAAGGUUAAUUGAUGGGGUCAGCGCAAGCGAAGCUCCUGAUCGAAGCCCCGGUAAACGGCGGCCGUAACUAUAACGGUCCUAAGGUAGCGAAAUUCCUUGUCGGGUAAGUUCCGACCUGCACGAAUGGCGUAAUGAUGGCCAGGCUGUCUCCACCCGAGACUCAGUGAAAUUGAACUCGCUGUGAAGAUGCAGUGUACCCGCGGCAAGACGGAAAGACCCCGUGAACCUUUACUAUAGCUUGACACUGAACAUUGAGCCUUGAUGUGUAGGAUAGGUGGGAGGCUUUGAAGUGUGGACGCCAGUCUGCAUGGAGCCGACCUUGAAAUACCACCCUUUAAUGUUUGAUGUUCUAACGUGGACCCGUAA
rnacentral:rRNA from 1 species